rnacentral:lncRNA from 1 species
GUGAAGGAGAUUCUUUAAGGCGGUGAACGCGGUGAAAGGAUACAAUAUUCAAUAAGAAGUCAAUACAGAAUUAUUAGCUUGAUCUCUUCGGGCCAGGUUCAACAUGGCAAUAUUUUCUUCUACUUGUAAACCGAUUUCUCACAUAGAAGUGUAAAACGAAUAAAAAAUAGCCAGAAUAAAUAAAGAAAAAAAUAUUGGGAGUCCGCUACAAAAUAUGAGUUCAACUGGAUUUGAACUCAAACGUUUAUCGAGACAGCCCAAACGACCUAGCACUAAGCCACCAGGGGACGAACGGAAUUUCUUGUGAAAUUAAAAACAAUAGUACAUUGUUGUGACCUCCUUAUCUUAUGCGGUGAAGAAGAUUCUAUAAUGAUUCAAUAUGAAGUCAAUACAGAAUGAUUAGCUGGAUUUUUUCGGGCCAGGUUCAACAUAGCAAUAUUUCCUACUACUUGCAAAGCGAUUUCUCACAUAGAACUAUAAAAAGAAUAAAAAAUAGCCAGAAUAAAUGAAGGAAAAAAUAUUGCGAGUCCGCUACAAAAUACGAGUUGAACGGGAUUUGAACCCAAACAUCGAGAGAGGCCAAACGACCUACCGCUAAGCCACCAGUGAACGAGCUGUAAUUCUUGUGAAAUAAAAACAAUAGUAGAUUGGUUGUGACCUGCUUAUCUCAUGCGGUGAAGAAGAUUCUAUAAGGCGGAGAAUGCGGUAAAAGGAUACAAUAUGAAGUCAAUACAAAAUGAUUAGCUGAAUUUCUUCGGGCCAGGUUCAACUUGGCAAUAUUUUCUACUACUUGCAAAGCGAUUUUCCACAUAGAGGUAUAAAAAGAAUAAAAAAUAGCCAGAAUAAAUAAAGGAAAAAAAUAUUGGGAGUCCGCUACGAAAUAUGAGUUCAACGGGAUUUGAACCCAAGCGUUAAUCGAGACAGGCCAAAAGACCUACCACUAAGCCACCAGGGACGAUCUGAAAUUCUCGUGAAAUUAAAGACAAUAGUAGAUUGUUGUGACCUGCUUAUCUCAUGCGGUGAAGGAGAUUCUAUUAUGCGGUGAAUGGCGGUGAACGCGGUGAAAGGAUUCGAUAGGAAAUCAA